rnacentral:rRNA from 1 species
GUGUCAGCAGCCGCGGUAAUACGGAGGGGGCAAGCGUUAUUCGGAAUCAUUGGGCGUAAAGGGCGCGUAGGCGGCCUGGCAAGUCAAAGGUGAAAUCCCUCGGCCUAACCGAGGAACUGCCUUUGAAACUGCAAGGCUCGAGGCCGGGAGAGGGUAGCGGAAUUCCCAGUGUAGCGGUGAAAUGCGUAGAUAUUGGGAGGAACACCAGUGGCGAAGGCGGCUACCUGGACCGGUUCUGACGCUGAUGCGCGAAAGCGUGGGGAGCAAACAGGAUUAGAAACCCUCGUAGUCC